CCCCCUGGACGAAGACUGACGCUCAGGUGCGAAAGCGUGGGGAGCAAACAGGAUUAGAUACCCUGGUAGUCCACGCCGUAAACGAUGUCGACUUGGAGGUUGUGCCCUUGAGGCGUGGCUUCCGGAGCUAACGCGUUAAGUCGACCGCCUGGGGAGUACGGCCGCAAGGUUAAAACUCAAAUGAAUUGACGGGGGCCCGCACAAGCGGUGGAGCAUGUGGUUUAAUUCGAUGCAACGCGAAGAACCUUACCUGGUCUUGACAUCCACGGAAGUUUUCAGAGAUGAGAAGGUGCCUUCGGGAACUGUGAGACAGGUGCUGCAUGGCUGUCGUCAGCUCGUGUUGUGAAAUGUUGGGUUAAGUCCCGCAACGAGCGCAACCCUUAUCCUUUGUUGCCAGCGGU
rnacentral:rRNA from 1 species